UAUGGCUUUCUUUUCCUGUGUG
rnacentral:miRNA from 1 species